CACACAAGUAUGUGGACCCCACCUCCCAUUCUUUUCACACCCCUAAUAUUCAAGCAUCCUCUACUCUGACAGAAAGAGGACCACUCGGACAACAGCGGGGCACAAUUGGAUCGAUGGAGACAACAGUGGUGAGCAGUGUUGCAACAGGAGCAGAGUUGCACUGCAGUGUGCUGGAGGAGGACUGGCAGAGAGGACAGAGAUACAGUGCCCAAUGGCACAGCCUCAGCAUGCCCCCUCAGCAGCGCAGAUCACCAGUUGCAGAAUCAGAGAAAUACCAGGAGGCCCUGAGAUGCCUCCAGCACUUUCUCUCUGGCGCCAUCAGUCAGAGACCAUCUGCGCCCAAAGUCCUCACACGCAGGAAGCCUCAGCAGCAAGUCUUUGAACCUUCUGCUACCACUCCAGUCACGCAGCAGAGUCCACUCCACUCACCGAAGGCCUGGCCACGAUUCCGAGGAGCAUCUGGUUAGGGAUCAGAGGAAGACCCCUGUAUUCCAGGUCGAUCAGUGUGCUUUUGCUUUAUUCUUGUUUUGGGGUGUUUUUUUUUUUCAUUUUAAGAAUACCACCUCUGCGAUACUACUUUAAACAUUGCUACUUGAGACAUUGUAUGAAAGAUGGUUCUCACUGCACAUAAAUGACAUGUGUAGGACUGAAGUGUCCAAGGUUUCAAGUAACUGCAGUUUAUCUGUGCUGUGAGCUGCACGUUUUGGAAGCCGUGUGGUGGAUGAAGAAUCAUUCUCACUUCAAAUGUAAUUCAAUGUGUCGGUUUGGGAGAGGACUGUUAUUUUGAGAUGGCUGGCAAUUGAAUUAAUUUGCAAACAGCAUGUCUGUGUGUGUGUUCCACUCAGCUGCCAGGAUGAGAACGGUGUUAAGAACGGAUUACUUGUGUCGAUGGUCCACAUUUGACAGCUGCUGAUGGUAGAUUCCCUGAGAAUGCAUCACACAUUGGAGGACACUUUCGAGUAAUUGAUAUUGGCUCAGCUGUUCAUUUGUAAUCUAGGUUGUUUUUUGGCACCAGAGAUAAAUAGGAAGAUCACAUUUUAGGAGCAAGCAGAGUUUAGUAUGAUGAGAUCGGAAUUGUCUGAGAUGUUUGCGCUAUUGGUUCAGCAUUUUGUAUAUUUUCAUUAGACAGGAAGGAAGAAGGAAGGUGCAUUAUACAAUCAAAAGAGAACCUAUUGUACAGGAGGUACUGUGGCAAUUGAGGUUUCAUUGAGAAGUAAGCAUCUGGAC